rnacentral:sRNA from 1 species
GGCACCCACCUGGACAGCGGCCUCCGGUCAGCCUCACUCUGACGCAACCCCCCUCUCACUGGACAGCAUCACCUGGGCACAGAGCCUCACCUAGUCUGUGUCCCGUGGACCCAGCUUUGCUUUGGACAGUGACACCAAGAAUACUCACCCCUUUACUUAGCCAGACCACAGGCAGCCACCUGGACACAAACAUCUCUCCAGAGUCACCCUCCACGCAGACUCCACAGCAGAACUCCCAGGGAGGCACUGGGGCAUGGCUUCGGAACACCAGGCAGCCCUCCGCGGUGCCCAGCACCGGCUCAGCCAGGGCAGCCUGCAGCGGAGCCUGGAGCCAGCAGCUUCUCAUCUCUUGGCCUCGGGAAAUGUAGCUGGAGUCAUCAUUUAGCAGAGCACAGUGUCCCUGGGUUGGUCACCCAGCUUAGUUUUAAAAUAAAAUAAUGUAAUCUUGGUCUAAUGGUGGAA